ACCGGGUGCGUUGGCAUGUGCCUGUAUCCAAGUCACUGGGAGGCUGAGGUUGGUGGAUCAAGUGAGCUGAGGAGCUCUGGGCUGCAGCACGCUAUGUCGAACGGGUGUCCACGCCAAGUUCGGUAUCGAUAUGGUGUUCCUGGGGGAGCCCGGGACCACCAGGGUUGUCUAAGGAGGGGUGAACCGGCCCAGGUCGGAAACGAAGCAGGUCAAAUCCCCCGUGCUGUCCAGUAGUGGGAUAAUACCUGUGAGUAGAUGCUGCAGUGCAGCCUUGGCAAAACAUUGAGACCUAGACUUUA
rnacentral:SRP_RNA from 1 species